UAGCAGAAAUUAUCAGCCUCUCCAAUUCUGUCAGUUUUGGAAUGGAAAGGUGAUUCUGAUCUUAUUUAUGUGAAUCUUGAAGCAUCAAAAUAAUUCAUAUUCCUUUUUUUAGUUAGUUACUCCCAAUUUGAUAAAAUGAGUUCAUACCAUUUUGGGGAAUGAACUUACAGUCUUGCCAAUAGAGUGUCCAAGAAGAAUCGCCCCCUAGCGGACAUUUUAUACCCACUCGGAGGAUACUUGUGAGAUCUUGUCUGUCUCUCAUUUUUUUCUCUGACACACCUUACAAGUUAAAAAAAAUAAAAAGUAUUUUCAGAGCAGUCACUAAUACAUUGAUUUAAUUCUUGAAAUUUAAUUCUUGAAAUUUACUAUCUUCGGAUAGAUCAGAUAGUGUUUUGAUGAAGUUAUCUAAAACAAAUACUGGUGAAAUACAGACUAGACACCACAUACAUCUGGAUUUUACUCUGAUUUCUUUUUUUUUUUUCAGGGACAAGGGCCUGCUAUGUAUCUAUUUCCAUGUCAAGAAAGCCAUGACAGCUUUGGUGACCAAGAAUGUGGGAUCUUUUGAGGAACCUUAAUUUCAGCAGAGGGCUGGAAACAGGUUUAAAGAUGUUCAAUGACCAUAGGAAGAAGAUAGUGGAUUUUCAAAAUAACAUUUGGCAAAAGAGGUCGGCCUGCAGUGAUGUGCACAAGUUUGGGAGGCUCAAGACCUGGUGUCACAUCCUGACUCCAAUCUGUGUAAGCUGCAUUGCUCUGCGCAAGAGAUUCAAACACUAAGAACUGCAGUUGCACAUUUGUAAUACCUACUUCAUUGUCAUAGGAGGAGACAAGGAGGAGAUGGCCAUCUAGAAACCAGGAAGUGGAUCUUCACCAGACACUAGAUCUACUGGCACUUUGCUCUGCACUUCCCAGUCUGUUUCCUAAGCCACUCAAUUAGUGGCAUUUUGUCAUAGAUUCCUAAACUGUCUAAGGCAAUUCGUGUGGUUUCAACACAAAUCCCUGAAUUAUGUGAAUAGUUAACCAUUUGUAAACCACUAGAGGUGAUAAUGCACAUUAGCUUGUACAUGGUGGACAACUCAUACAAAAGGUUAGUAAAUUUUUCCACAGUUAAACCUUCUAACCACGCAGUAAACACUGGCUCUGCAUUAGUAAGUACUCUUCUUGGUGCUGGAAUGCAAAAUGACACAUAACCAAGUCUUUCCUAGGAGCUCAUCAUCUCCUAAAAACAACAACAACAACAACAACAAAACCAAACUAUACAUUUGUGUGUUAGUACUAAAACAGAGGCAUGUUCCAGGGUUUAUAUAAAAUGAGGAUCUUUGUUCUUUGUUGGUUAUACACACUGAAAAAAUCUUCUUAUGGUUUAUGAUCUUUUGUUUCACUUUUUAUGGUGUCUUUGAUGUAGAGUUCAUUGUGUUGUAAUUUGUAGUUCUGUGUCAUGUUUAGAAUCUUCUAC
rnacentral:lncRNA from 1 species